AUGAGAAAUACACCAAGGACUCAAGAUUCACAUCCAGACAUGUCAGGGUUUCCGGAUGCCCAGGAGGCACUUUGGGUUGCCAAUACUCAAGAAAUGACACUGGUUGAAAAAAAAAUUCUUUUUAUUGGAACUCAUCUGAACAUCAGAUAUACCUGGUGUUGGUUAGCAAGAACCGUUUGUACAUUUGAUAUUGAUGGUGCCAAAACCAAAACAGUGACUGGACAUGAUAGGGACUGAUAAGGAAAGGGUAAAGGUGACGGAAUAAAUCCAUUUGACAGCAGGAGAAAGGGGAGUAGAAGAGAUGGAGAGAAGCCGGUCGAUUUCAGAAUAGCCUCUCUCCACCACGCAGAGACUGCCGGGAGAAAGGAGGGGAGGAAGGAGACAUCGGACAGCCUCCACUACUGAGUGAGGCGUGGGGUGUGCCGGGGCAGAGGGGGCCGUUAAAACACUGAAGUCUAGUCUAGUUUUUCUGUUCGA
rnacentral:lncRNA from 1 species